AGAGUUGAUCCUGGCUCAGGAUGAACGCUGGCGGCGUGCCUAAUACACGCAAGUCGAACGAGGAGUCUUUGUAUUCGUACGGAGGUUUCCUAGUGGCGAACGGGUGAGUAACGCGUUGGUGACCUACCCCGAAGAGGGGGAUAACAGCUCGAAAGAGUUGCUAAUACCCCAUGUGGUCACGAGGGUUAGAGGCCUUGUGACUGAAGGAGUAAUCCGCUUCGGGAGGGGCCUGCGUCCCAUCAGCUAGUUGGUAGGGUAAUGGCCUACCAAGGCGAAGACGGGUAGGGGACCUGAGAGGGUGGUCCCCCACAAUGGAACUGAAACACGGUCCAUACACCUACGGGUGGCAGCAGUAGGGAAUUUUGCACAAUGGGCGAAAGCCUGAUGCAGCAACGCCGCGUGCACGAUGAAGGCCUUCGGGUCGUAAAGUGCUUUUCGGGGAGAUGAGGAAGGACAGUAUCCCCAGAAUAAGGAUCGGCUAACUACGUGCCAGCAGCCGCGGUAAAACGUAGGAUCCGAGCGUUAUCCGAAUUUACUGGGCGUAAAGCGCGUGCAGGCGGUUUGGUAAGUUGGAUGUGAAAGCUCCCGGCUCAACUGGGAGAGGUCGUUCGAAACUGCCAGACUAGAGGGUGGUAGAGGGAGGUGGAAUUCCCGGUGUAGUGGUGAAAUGCGUAGAUAUCGGGAGGAACACCAGUGGCGACGCGGCCUCCUGGACCAUUCCUGACGCUAAGACGCGAAAGCUAGGGUAGCAAACGGGAUUAGAAACCCCGGUAGUCCUAGCUGUAAACGAUGUGGACUGGGCGUUGGU
rnacentral:rRNA from 1 species